rnacentral:rRNA from 1 species
UGGGGAAUCUUGGACAAUGGGGGAAACCCUGAUCCAGCAACGCUGCGUGAAGGACGAAGGUCUUCGGAUCGUAAACUUCUUUUCUAUGGGACGAAAGCUUCGGUAUGACGGUACCAUAGGAAUAAGCCCCGGCUAAAUAUGUGCCAGCAGCCGCGGUAAGACAUAUGGGGCAAGCGUUAUUCGGAAUUACUAGGCGUAAAGCGCGUGUAGGCGGGUGCGCAAGUCUGCCGUGAAAUCUCCCGGCUUAACUGGGAGGGGUCGGCGGAUACUGCGUGUCUAGAGUUGGGUAGGGGGUACCGGAAUUCCUGGUGUAGCGGUGAAAUGCGUAGAUAUCAGGAGGAACACCGAUGGCGAAAGCAGGUACCUGGGCCUUGACUGACGCUGAGACGCGAAAGCUGGGGUAGCAAACAGG